rnacentral:rRNA from 1 species
CCUACGGGAGGCAGCAGUAGGGAAUCUUGUGCAAUGGGCGAAAGCCUGACACAGCAACUCCGCGUGCGGGAAGAAGGCCUUAGGGUUGUAAACCGCUUUUGGCAGGAACGAAAAUGACGGUACCUGCAGAAUAAGGUGCGGCCAACUACGUGCCAGCAGCCGCGGUGACACGUAGGCACCAAGCGUUGUCCGGAUUUAUUGGGCGUAAAGAGCUCGUAGGCGGUUCAGUUAGUCGGGUGUGAAAACUCUGGGCUUAACCCGGAGACGCCACUCGAUACUGCUGGGCUAGAAUUCGGUAGGGGAGUGGGGAAUUCCUGGUGUAGCGGUGAAAUGCGCAGAUAUCAGGAGGAACACCGGUGGCGAAGGCGCCACUCUGGGCCGACAUUGACGCUGAGGAGCGAAAGCGUGGGUAGCAAACAGGAUUAGAUACCCUGGUAGUCCACGCCGUAAACGGUGGGCACUAGGUGUGGGUUCCAACCAACGGAAUCCGUGCCGUCGCAAACGCAUUAAGUGCCCGCCUGGGGAGUACGGCCGCAGGUUAAACUUAAGGAAUUGACGG